rnacentral:rRNA from 1 species
GGUGAACGCUGGCGGUGCGUCUAAUACAUGCAAGUCGAGCGAGGUUUCGAACCGAGCGGCAAACGGGUGAGUAACACGUUGGUAGCCCCCCCAGAUUCAGGGAUAACCCAGGGAAACCUGGGCUAAUACCGGAUGGUCCCGAAAGGGUAAAGCUUUUGCGAUCUGGGAGGUGCCUGCGUCCUAUCAGGUAGUUGGUGAGGUAAUGGCUCACCAAGCCGAUGACGGGUAGCUGGUCUGAGAGGAUGGCCAGCCACAGUGGGACUGAGACACGGCCCACACUCCUACGGGAGGCAGCAGUAAAGAAUCUUGCGCAAUGGACGAAAGUCUGACGCAGCGACACCGCGUGGUGGAUGACGCCCUUCGGGGUGUAAACACCUUUUCACCGGGGACGAUAAUGACGGUACCCGGAGAAGAAGCCCCGGCUAACUUCGUGCCAGCCGCCGCCGUAA